CCUACGGGGGGCAUCAGUGGGGAAUAUUGGACAAUGGGCGAAAGCCUGAUCCAGCCAUGCCGCGUGUGUGAAGAAGGCCUUCGGGUUGUAAAGCACUUUCAGUGGGGAAGAAAGCCUUGGGGCUAAUACCCUCGAGGAAGGACAUCACCCACAGAAGAAGCACCGGCUAACUCCGUGCCAGCAGCCGCGGUAAUACGGAGGGUGCGAGCGUUAAUCGGAAUUACUGGGCGUAAAGCGCGCGUAGGCGGUCUGAUAAGCCGGUUGUGAAAGCCCCGGGCUCAACCUGGGAACGGCAUCCGGAACUGUCAGGCUAGAGUGCAGGAGAGGAAGGUAGAAUUCCCGGUGUAGCGGUGAAAUGCGUAGAGAUCGGGAGGAAUACCAGUGGCGAAGGCGGCCUUCUGGACUGACACUGACGCUGAGGUGCGAAAGCGUGGGUAGCAAACAGGAUUAGAUACCCUGGUAGUC
rnacentral:rRNA from 1 species